AUGUGAUUAAAGUCCGUACCUAGUAGUGUUCAGACAUGGGUAACGGUAAUUCAAAGGAAAAUCCAUCGCCACUCAAAGAUCCCUACAGAGAUGAAGUUUGUACUAAAGAGCGAGGUGACGAGCUUUUGGACGAAAUUAAGCGUGUUCUUGAAAUAAGCGCACAACCUGAGAACCGUGAGAGAAGAAUAUGGAAUUUGUUACUUAUUGGUCCAAACGAUCUGGGA